rnacentral:rRNA from 1 species
AGUGAACGCUGGCGGUAGGCCUAACACAUGCAAGUCGAACGGCAGCACAGUAAGAGCUUGCUCUUACGGGUGGCGAGUGGCGGACGGGUGAGGAAUACAUCGGAAUCUACUUUUUCGUGGGGGAUAACGUAGGGAAACUUCCGCUAAUACAGCACACGACCUACGGGUGAAAGCAGGGGUUCUUCGGGCCUUGCGCGAUUGAAUGAGCCGAUGUCGGAUUAGCUAGUUGGCGGGGUAAAGGCCCACCAAGGCGACGAUCCGUAGCUGGUCUGAGAGGAUGAUCAGCCACACUGGAACUGAGACACGGUCCAGACUCCUACGGGAGGCAGCAGUGGGGAAUAUUGGACAAUGGGCGCAAGCCUGAUCCAGCCAUACCGCGUGGGUGAAGAAGGCCUUCGGGUUGUAAAGCCCUGUUGUUGGGAAAGAAAAGCAGCAGGUUAAUACCCCGCUGUUCUGACGGUACCCAAAGAAUAAGCACCGGCUAACUUCGUG